UACGUAGGGUCGCGAGCGUUGUCCGGAAUUAUUGGGCGUAAAGAGCUCGUAGGCGGCCUGUUGCGUCCGCUGUGAAAGCCCGGGGCUUAACCCCGGGUCGGCAGUGGAUACGGGCAGGCUAGAGGUAGGUAGGGGAGAAUGGAAUUCCCGGUGUAGCGGUGAAAUGCGCAGAUAUCGGGAGGAACACCGGUGGCGAAGGCGGUUCUCUGGGCCUUACCUGACGCUGAGGAGCGAAAGCGUGGGGAGCGAACAGG
rnacentral:rRNA from 1 species